GAUGAACGCUGGCGGCGUGCCUAAUACAUGCAAGUCGAGCGAACAGACGAGGAGCUUGCUCCUCUGAUGUUAGCGGCGGACGGGUGAGUAACACGUGGAUAACCUACCUAUAAGACUGGGAUAACUUCGGGAAACCGGAGCUAAUACCGGAUAACAUGUUGAACCGCAUGGUUCAACAGUGAAAGACGGUCUUGCUGUCACUUAUAGAUGGAUCCGCGCCGCAUUAGCUAGUUGGUAAGGUAACGGCUUACCAAGGCAACGAUGCGUAGCCGACCUGAGAGGGUGAUCGGCCACACUGGAACUGAGACACGGUCCAGACUCCUACGGGAGGCAGCAGUAGGGAAUCUUCCGCAAUGGGCGAAAGCCUGACGGAGCAACGCCGCGUGAGUGAAGAAGGUCUUCGGAUCGUAAAACUCUGUUAUUAGGGAAGAACAAAUGUGUAAGUAACUAUACACGUCUUGACGGUACCUAAUCAGAAAGCCACGGCUAACUACGUG
rnacentral:rRNA from 1 species